AUGGCCUGGGCUCUGCUCCUUGUCACCCUCCUCACUCAGGGCACAGGAUCCUGGGCCCAGUCUGGCCUGACUCAGCCUCCCUCAGUGUCCGGGAAUCCGGGACAGACGGUCACCAUCUCUUGUGCUGGAACCAGCAGUGACAUAGGGAAAUAUAACGAUGUUGGCUGGUACCAACAGCUCCCAGGCAUGGCCCCCAAAACCCUGAUUUAUAAUGUCAAUACACGGCCCUCAGGGAUCCCUGAUCGCUUCUCUGGCUCCAAGUCUGGCAACACGGCCUCCCUGACCAUCUCUGGGCUCCAGGCUGAGGACGAGGCUGAUUAUUACUGUAGUUCGUUUGACCUGCAUCUGAGUGGGCUGAGCCUGGGAGGGUUGAGGACACAGUCUGGGUCUCAGCUUUGUCCCCUCUCCUGGCAUCGGUGA